ACAGACACACAAACACUCACAGAGACACACAAACACACACAGACACACACAGACACACAUAGACACACACACGCACACACCAUUUUACUAACUGAAAUUGCGUCACACGUCCUAGGCUUUCUUGUGCAUCAUUUCUGGUACUUUUGUUGUAAUCACGUACCUGUGGUUUGGGUGAUGCUCUAACGGUGUAACAAAUCGGGGUCCUGCAGGGGUGUUUCUGAUUCUCGCUCUCUGCACACAGCCCACUGUCCGCGUCGCCCCCUGGCGGCACUCAGGGCUGCUCUCAAUUCUUGGGGAUGAGGACUCAGGAUGGGAAGGCUGGUUCCAUGGUUUUGUGUAUUUUUAAUUUAAAUAUAUUUUUCCAGAUGACUUUCCAAAAGAGCAGUUAUAAUUCACAUCUCCCGCAGUAAUAUGCAAAUGUCCUUUCCUUCACGUCCUCACCAGAAGGUGUUACCUUUUCAAUUUUGGCCCAGCUGAGAGGUGAGAAUUGAUGUCUCCUUAUCAAAAUAACUUGAAUUUCUGGCUACUUGUGACUUUGUGUAACUUUCCUCACUAUUUUUGGCCCUUUGGGAACUCUCUAGUAAGCGCUUGUUCCUAUACUUUGCCUAACUGUCUCCUAUUUGUCUCUUUAAAAAUCAAUUGUGACAGCUCUCUGCGCAUUACGGCUGUGGCCCCCCCGCUGCUUUCCUGUCAUUUCUUAGUUACCAAUAUUCAUGAAAAUGUUUGCCUAAUCCAGAGGUUACACAUAUAUUCACUUUCUUCUAAGAUUUAUUCUUUCACAUGCUAAUAUGUGCUGUAUUUGCUAUUUAUUUCUGAAUGUGAGAUGAAUUAGAAGCCCAGCUGAUUUGCUUAAUUAUGAAAGCCUCUUUCCCGGUGUAUAAAUGCACCGGCCUUUUAACCCCGGCCUGGGCUCCGUUCCUGGCCCACCCCAUGCACUCAUCUGCCGUGGUUUUCAUUCCAAAAGUGUUACUAUUUCUCAGACUGGAGUCCCCUCAAUCUUCUUUUCCACAGUUUUCUUGGUUACUUUUAGACAUGUAUCUUGUUAUAGGAAUUUAAGGUUAUUUUAUGCAAACUACACACUCACACACAGAAACACACUGGAAUUCUCUUUGGAAUUACAUUAGAGUUUUAUCUUAAUCUGUGGAGAAUUGAUAUUUUCUGUUUUAUUAUGUCUUUCCAACCAAUAACCAAGGAUUCCUCUGUAAAUAGCCGUGUCUUCCUUUCCUUCCUCCACGAACCUUUAAUGAUUCUUCACUAGGAUCCCGGCAGACUCGGGUCCCAGGUCCCCGUUGCUGCUCCCUGACCUCCUCUCCGUGGGCGCUCAUUCCUGGGAUCAGGGAGGAGCUGAGAUGCUUGGGGGGCUGGCACCCCGCUCCCCCUUCAGGGCGGGCAGCCUUCCCUUAGGGGAACUUCGCUCCCGGCAGGGCCGGCAAGCUGAGGCCUCCCUCACCCUCUCCUUCAAGCAUCCGCUGUGCUCAGAGCUGGGGACACACAGGUGUGUACACAUGGUUUUUUCCUUGCAAGAAAUAGUUCAACGUUUAGGCAAAGACAAAAGACAAGAGACGGAUGAUCCCACGGCACGCGACACGCACGGAGGAAGCGACUUCUACGGGCCUCUGUGCUGGCAGCUGGGGACACAGGAACCUCGAGAAUGGUUGGUCAACCGGUCCAACAGGACACGACACAUCUGGCUGAAGUCACUCUGCAUCCCCCAUGGGAUGUCUGCUGUGCGUGGGCACAGGACCAACCCACGUGGACAGUCCUUCCCUCAAGAUUCCUGGGCCCGGAAAUGCCAUCUCCCCUCCUCCAUCAGCCUUGACUCUUCCGGGCAUUGGGCCCCCGAGAGGGAAGAGGCAGCAGGUGCAUCGUGGGGGGAUGGGCAGGUCAGAGGCUGUGUGGUCACGACCUGGUGGCACUGAGUCUGGAGCCUCGGGGCCCACCCGAUCCCCUCUCUUCCCUGAAACAGAGCUCUCCCCAUGGCCGCUCAUGAAUCCAGCAGCUCUUUUUAAGUAACAUGUUUGGAAAUGAUCUGAGAAGUCAGAAAUCAAGAGCCUUUUGGGCAGAAACGCAUAAUGAAUGGCUAGUCGGCAGAUCUGGAGAAAAUAUGGUCGACAAAGAGACAAAGAAUGGACGAACAGCAAGAGGUGAGAUAGAUGCUGGAACCAGGAGGUACCUCUGGACGAGGCGGGGAGGUGUGCUUGUUUCGGUGCCGCUAGACACUUUGUAAACCACCCUUCACAUUAAAGUGUUCAGGAAAUGAAAGUUAAAUGGAACUGGGGUAAUCUGUUUCUUCCUCAAUUGACAGUCUCCGUGGGGACCCGGUACCCACUUUCCUGGUGGUUUCUCCUACCCUGCGUCUGGCUCUCUGGAUGUGUGCCAGGUGGAGGUGUGCGCCAGGUACCAGCUCAGGUGUGAGCCACACCCUGAUGAGCACCUGCUCCAGGGUCAGGCCGGGACAGACUCUGGGGUGGGGGGAUGACGGACCAAGCAGGUGACCAGAGCUCACAGGAGCGCUGGAAUCAAGGCUGCCUGGCCCAGGUGCUCGGGAGGGCCACCCAGAAGCAGGUACUUAAAGGUCAGGUUAUUUAUAUCUGUGGUUAGCGGGCCCCAAGCAGGUGGAGCAUCAAAGAUCUGUGCGGCUGCCCGGGGGUGUGUGCACAGGCUGUAACUGGAGGUCAUGUUCGGUCAGAUGGACUGGACAGGAGAAACCGUUCUUGAUGGCGGAAAGCACAGGAAAAGGCCCGCAAGAAAGCACAAGGAAGAAGGGAGACACAGCGGGCUCUGAAGGCGGCUGCACAAAUCAUCACACACAUCACGGAGCUGGGCAGGCUUCCACUGGGGAAACUCUGCUCGCUUCCUUGCGCCUCUGACUUCCUUCCAGAAGGAAGGCGAUGCUACUAGAUCAGUUGCUAUUCAUUAUUGUUAUAAAUCAAUGAAUCGUUUCAUAUCAUUAAUAGAAAUCAAUGUAUUAAAUUCAUUUCCUGUUUUCGUCACGUGUCUUCCUGUGAACUCUUCCAGCCAAACAUAAAUAAAACCAUAGAGAAUAAAUAGAAUAAAAACA